AGCUCAGCAACCACCUGCUCCUGGGAAUGCAAGCCUCACUGAGAGCCAAAUCUUUUGUAUACACAGUGGUGGGCCCUCUCUUCCUCUAUGUAAUUUGUAAUUGCAGAUGGUCUUGGAGCACAUAAUGUUCUGUGGAUUACCAAGCAUGGGUCAAGAGUUAUCUUAUCCUGGAACAAUAACCUGACAAAAGAAGAAACUAAGAAGUAUACUGUGAAGUAUAUUUUGAGUUAUAAAUUCUUCAAUACAACUCAUGAAAAGAAAUAUAUAUUCAGAAUUUUUCAUGCAUCAUAUAUAAUAUAUCUUUCUUCAAUUGCACCUGGCUUAUUAAAGCAGAAGCUCCUGAAGAUAUUCAGAUAUUUUUUUCAUACAGGUAAUGGUCUUGUGCAAAAUAACUAUGAAGCUAUGCUUUUGUACCUAAGUCCUUGAUUUACAAGACUCAUAUUUCCUUCUCACAGACACGUAGGAAAAGAUUUUGAAUGCCAGCAAUAUAUAAAAAAUGCAAGGAAGAAAAAUAUUGGAUGCCAUAUGAAAGAAAUAUAUUUCCAACCAUCAAGAAAAAUCAAUUUAAACAUAACCAUAAGACAUCUGAGACAUAAUUCAGGAGGCCUGUCUUAUUACAAAGCUUUUACACCUCAGACAAUAGGUAAGUUUUUUCUAUUAUUACCUGUUCAUUUAUUGG
rnacentral:lncRNA from 1 species